CACACAUGAUGGGUGAUUGCAGCCAGGCUGGGGCUCCAAUAUUCUGGCUCCCUGUCCAAUGCUUGUCACUGCCCUGUGCCACCUACUACUGCACACAUAUCCCAUGUCCUUCCAGGGAGGAAAGAGGCUGUUUGGGCAGAAAAUGAUGAUCCUUAGCUGCUAACUCUGUCAGCACAAAGAGAGUGGGACUGCAGAUGACCUCCAACACUGAAUAAACCAAAAAGGAUUCAUUUAACGUUUGAGAACAAAUUCUCAGGUUCAGGAGUUCAUAUGCAGAUUUG
rnacentral:lncRNA from 10 species